GACAGAGGUGCCGAGCGUUAGGCGGAAUCACUGGGCUUAAAGCGUGUGUAGGCGGAUGCCUAAGUACCUUGUGAAAUCCCAUGGCUCAACCAUGGAACUGCUUGGUAUACUGGGUGUCUUGAGCUAUCUAGGGGCAACUGGAACAAACGGUGGAGCGGUGAAAUGCGUAGAUAUCGUUUGGAACGCCAAUGGUGAAAACAGGUUGCUGGGGAUAUGCUGACGCUGAGACACGAAAGCCAGGGGAGCAAACGGG
rnacentral:rRNA from 1 species